UACGUAGGGUGCUAGCGUUAAUCGGAAUUACUGGGCGUAAAGCGUGCGCAGGCGGUUUUGUAAGCCAGGUGUGAAAUCCCCGGGCUUAACCUGGGAAUGGCAUUUGGGACUGCAAGGCUCGAGUGCGGCAGAGGAGACUGGAAUUCCUGGUGUAGCAGUGAAAUGCGUAGAUAUCAGGAGGAACACCGAUGGCGAAGGCAGGUCUCUGGGCUGACACUGACGCUCAGGCACGAAAGCGUGGGGAGCAAACAGG
rnacentral:rRNA from 1 species